rnacentral:lncRNA from 1 species
AACCUAAAACACCUCUAACGGAGCUCAGAUUGGGUGGAAAUAGUGUACAGAAUUUACAGAAGGCUCCCUUUUGUUGGCGGGAGUAUGCUGCCGUCCUAAGUCAGAACCCUGUAUCUACAUUUUUUUUUAAAUUGAGUUAUCAGCAAAAGUGAACUGGUAGUGGUUUUUUUCUUAUCUGUAAAUCCCGUGAAUCUGUUAAACCCCGUAAUUUUCAUUUAAAAUUGAGUAAAAUUUAAAAAAUAAUACACCGUAACUGCAUAAAAUAGCCAACAUCCUAAGCAAAAAACUGGCAUCGUAGAAUUCCUUAGAUAGAACCUGACAAAUGCACGGCGCGGGCGAGUAGUUCCGUGGUUAUUUCUAAGCAUUAUGCACAUGCCAGGUUUUUCCUAAGCUUCGGUCUUGAUACGGAUGUAGCUGCCAGGUUUUAACUAGGCAAUAACAACAAAAUUCGCGGGAGUCUAAAAAUAUUUAUUUAGUUCUAAUCAGACAGGCAUGUGCGUUAGUUGUGAUUUUAUGUUAGUGAGGUUUGCUAUUAUUUUGUGUGUGUUUUUUUAUGGAUAUUUUACUGAAUAAUCUUUAGUACAUAGAAACUAAAAUGUCGAAGAGAUCUAAGCUUAUGGUCAAAUUGGCCAGAGAAUGUCUUUCUUCAGAAAAUCAUAAUGUGCUACGUGAAUUAAGACCUUGCAGUACAACAAACUUAGAAAACAGUUGUCUAGUAGAUGAAGAAUAUCAAUUGGGGUUCUUGCGAUUGCCUACAGAAGAUUUUCGGAUUGAGCCGUAUAUCGAUAAUACUGAGGAUAAUAAUAUCGAUUCUAAAAUGGAUUUAGAGAGAGAGUUCGAGAUUCCUGGUCAUGAAGUAAUUAAUCCUCAAGAAGCCAUCCCUGAUAAUCGCGUGUGUCAAAACCAUAACGUAGUACUACCAUCAUAUGACGAAUCGGACAACUACAACAUUACUAGAGAAAUUGUUGAAAUCAACGAACCACAAACUGACGAAUUAUCAAUAUUAAGAGAAGAUAAUGAUAGAAAUUAAAUUAAAGGAUCGAUAGAACAGGAGCCAAAAGAACUACAAAUACUGGAAGAAAACAGAAAUAUAAUUGAAAAUGGUGAACAGAGAGAACAGGAGCCGGAAGAACUACAAGAAAAAUAUACAAAAAAAGGAACGAUUAGAAAAAGGAAAAAAUUCAAAGAAAUUAAAUCAGAAAGAUUAAAAGCGUUUAAAGAAAGCAUUAAAAAUAAACAUCAGGUGACAGAAUCCUGUGACAAAAACAAAUGUAAAAAACAAUGUAUCUCUUCUAUAGACGAUGAAAGGCGAAAGGAAAUUAAUAAUAACUACUGGAAUUUAACCUGGAUUGAAAAGAAAACAUUUAUUUUAAAUUCGAUUUCGCGCACGAACGUAAAAAGAAGAACUACUUUUGUAGAAAAUCCUGUGAGACAAAAUUCCCUUAAAUAUUAUUAUAAAGACAGUAAAGGGGAAGAAAUAAUGUGUGUAAUUUUUUUUUCCUUGCAACUCUGGGAUACAAAAGAAGUAAUGAUUGGGCCAUUCAAAGUUUUUUAAUUGGAAUUGAAAACUCUCCGAUGAGUAACCUGUCCCAACCCAAACUUGAUGGACGAGGUCGUAGACCAUCAGAGAAAAAAAUUGAUAGGAAAUUUAUCGAAGAACAUAUAGAAAGCUUCCACCCAACCAUUUCCCAUUAUCGGCGAGAGCACGACCGAAAUCGCCGCUAUCUUCCAAGUGAUAUAAAUGCUACUUUUAUGCAUAAAGAUUUCUUGGAGAAAUAUCCUUAAAAUACGUGCUCAUAUGAAGUGUACAGGAAGAUAAUUAAACAAAAAAACAUUUCUUUUACCCAGCUUGGUCACGAACAAUGCGAACUCUGCGAAGAAUUUGAAUCACUUAAACUGGACUGUGAAAAUUGUGAUAAAUGGAAUACACAUAUUCUUCAAGCCAAACGAUCAAGGGAAUUGUAUCAACAAGAUUGUGAAAAACCAGAGACAAAUGACACGUUAAGAGUCUCAGUUGACUUACAAAAAAUAAUAAUGUUACCCAGGAUUGAGAUGUUCAAAAAGAUGUCCCGAUAGGUAAAAAAAGGAAACAAUCAUCAGCACAUGCUGUACUUUGGCAUGAAGCUGUGUCCGGUCGGUAAGAAAACAUUAUAAGUUGUUUUAAUUCCUUUUUCUUGCAUAAUAGAGAUUAUAAAAACUUUGUUAUUUGGCUUGAUAAUUGUGCAUCCCAGAACAAAAACUGGGCUUUCUUUACUUUUCUUAUUUUUCUAGUUAAUUCAGAAUAGAUUGCCGCAGAACAAAUUGUGCUAAAAUAUUUUGAGACUGGACACACCUUCAUGUCAGCGGAUAGCUUCCACCAUCAGUUGGAGCUUUCACUGAAACGUCAAAAAAAAAUUAGAUUUCCAAGAUUUUGUAAGAGCAGUUGAAAUGGCCAAUUCUGGUCGUGUAACUGUAAAAUCAAUGAAUCCAACAGAUUUUUAUUUAUGGCCAAAUUUUGCAUCACAACAAAAGCUUAGAAAAACGAAUCCCCGUCCAUAUUUGAGUAAUAUUACACAAAUAAUUGCCAGAAAAGGUCAAUUUAAACUUCAGAAUAUUUCGUCAAAGGACAACAAUUUGCAAGAGCUAGAUUUUUUGCAAAAUAGUAAAAUUAAGAUCGGUAUAACUUUUCCAGCUUUUCAAAAAGAACCAAGAGGCGUGACAAAAGAAAAAAAGGAAAAUAUAUUAAAAAAUGUAAAGAGUAUAAUUCCAAAAGAGCGUUUUCACUUCUGGGAAAAUCUACCUUGUGAUAGAUAAAUUUAAGAUUUUGACAUCUUUCAAAAUCAUUGUUUUUUGUACCACAAAAGUGUGUUGUUUUUUUGUUAAAAUAUUGAUUUGUAAUAUUAUUUGUAUCGGUUUAUUAUUAUGUAACAAUAUUUGUAAUAAUUGUAAAUAUCAGCCUUAUUUGUAAUACUGAAAUGUGAUGGAGUACCUAUUAAUAUAAUCAA